UCCUAACCGUGCGAAGGUAGCGUAAUCACUUGUUCUUUAAAUGGGGACUAGUAUGAAUGGCUGCAUGAGGGCCUAACUGUCUCCUGCGACCAAUCAAUGAACCUGAUCUUUCAGUACAAAAGCUGAAAUAAACACAUAAGACGAGAAGACCCUGUGGAGCUUUAAACAAACCCUAAUGCACAAACUCCCCUCCCCAUCCAGGCGCAAGACCUUGUAAUUAGCAACGUUUUAAGUUGGGGCGACUGCGGGGAAAAACAAAACCCCCAUGAAUCAUCAAAUACUACAAGUGGACACACUAACAGUAAUAAAUUGACCCAGCACAGCUGACUAACGAACCAAGUUACCCCAGGGAUAACAGCGCAAUCCCCUUCAAGAGUCCUUAUCGCCAAGGGGGUUUACGACCUC
rnacentral:rRNA from 1 species